rnacentral:rRNA from 1 species
AUUGAACGCUGGCGGCAUGCUUUACACAUGCAAGUCGAACGGUAACAGGCCGCAAGGUGCUGACGAGUGGCGAACGGGUGAGUAAUGCAUCGGAACGUGCCCAGUCGUGGGGGAUAACUACUCGAAAGAGUAGCUAAUACCGCAUACGAUCUAUGGAUGAAAGCGGGGGACCGUAAGGCCUCGCGCGAUUGGAGCGGCCGAUGUCAGAUUAGGUAGUUGGUGGGGUAAAGGCUCACCAAGCCAACGAUCUGUAGCUGGUCUGAGAGGACGACCAGCCACACUGGGACUGAGACACGGCCCAGACUCCUACGGGAGGCAGCAGUGGGGAAUUUUGGACAAUGGGCGCAAGCCUGAUCCAGCAAUGCCGCGUGCAGGAAGAAGGCCUUCGGGUUGUAAAGUGCUUUUGUACGGAACGAAACGGCUCUGGUUAAUACCCGGGGCUAAUGACGGUACCGGAAGAAUAAGCACCGGCUAACUACGUG